rnacentral:tRNA from 1 species
GCGGGUAUGACGGAAUUGGUAGACGUGCGAGAUUUAGGUUCUCGUGUCGCAAGGCGUGGGGGUUCGAGUCCCUCUACCCGCA